AUUACAUUCGUUUAGUUAAGCAACUUGUUUAUAGUGAUAAUUGUUGAAAAGUGUAGAAAAAUGACACCUGCAUUAUAUCCUGGGAUGAAGAAACGUUAUUUUAUGUCGAUUUCUUUAGAUGACAAAGGAGGUAACCAAAUAGCAUAUAUUACAAAAUCUGAGGACAAUAAUAGGGAUCGUUUAGCAAGGUUAAAAUAAUUAUUUUACCACAUUAGGACAUUAACAUAUCCAUGUGUUUGACAUAACCUCACUUCUUAAAUCUCUUAAAUUAGUCGGUGGAGAAGUGGCUCGAGGAUGAUUGUCUGAAUAUAAGUCGUACAAAAUUGGAAUGAAACGGUGAACAAUAUACAGAUCUUUAGACAGGCUUAAAUAAUGUAUGUGUAGGAGCAACUUGAAGAUGAUGGAGAUUUAUCUUCUUAAUAUAAAACCUCUAAAAUUGGGAACAGUAUGUCAUGUAUGCAUGAACUUGAUGUACCCUAGCAAUUGAUGUAUAAUGAACUGGAGAUAGAAUGAAUUCAAUCAGGUUAAAAAAAAUGUAUGUGCAAAAGCGACUCGAAGACGAUUUAGAUUUGUCUCCUGAAUAUAAAACUUCCAAGAAGUACAUCAUAUAUGAAUAUC